rnacentral:lncRNA from 1 species
GCUGGACCCGCGGCAGGAAGCACGGCCGCUGCUGCCCCCGCCCGCGUGUCUGCCUGUCUUCUCGAGCCCCUCCUCCUCCUCGUGCCACGCGUGGGUCUGAGCCCUGCGGGCAGCUCAGGGCCGUGACUCUUCGCUCGGGCUCUCCCGUGCAGCCUAGAGCCAGAUUUGAGCCAUGUUUGCCACGAGGCCCCAAGAACGUGGGUUGGGACUUGGCAAAGCCAGAUUUGGGUUGCCAGGCUGGUGGGCAGCUCGUCGCCGUGACCCGCGUGCCAGUCGGAGCUUCCCAAGGCGGUCAGCAGCUUGGGAUCGUGGGACGGCUGUUUCCGUGCAGGUUCGUGCCGCUGGCCUGGAGGAGCGUCCUGCCAGGCCUGGGUGUCUGCCACCGACCACACCGGGUGCAGGGACACGGGGAGGGCUGCGACUCUGGCGUGGGGUUCAGCGGGGCCAGCCGGGCCCUCAGCCGGAUCUCUCCCGUCCAUGCUGAUCACCAGCGCCCGCCUUGCUCCCGGGGUGCCCAGGGCUGGAGGCCGAUGCUCUUUGUGUUCCUGGACGAAGGAGGCUGUGGUAGAAAGACAGCUGACCCGAGAUGAUGAACACCUGAACUCUGGUUCUGCCAGUCACGAGCUGUGGGAGCUCGGGUCCAGCUCCCUCGUUUGCAAAGUCGUGGGGAGGAGAGGGGGUGAGGGCAGUGCCCUCUCAGGGGCUCCACAGCUCCGGAGAUGGUAACGUGAUGCUCCUGGCGCCCCUUCCUGGAGCUGCGCCCCUUUGCCGGCCCCCGAGGCCGGGGUCCUGGGGCCUUUCCCGGGAGGGCCGUUGCAUCCACAGUGGCUGGAGGCUCGAGGGAGGAACAGUGUGAGGGGAGGUGUCGCUGAUCCUCAGAGGACCUACGCGGUCAGAACUAAUUAAAACAGCACUUUUCUUUACCCACGCUCGCGUCCCCGAGUGUUUUCUCAGGGGCGGCGGGGCACCUGCUUUGAGGCUUUCUCCCCUAGACCCUGGCGUCAUGACGACGUGGAGCGGGAACCCGGCCCGGGAGCCUCCCUGCGGGGAAGGCCUGGGCCCUGCUCUGGCUGUGCAGCCACAGCCGCUCUUUCACGUGCAGGCAGCAGGGCCGGGGCCGGAGCCGGGGCAAGCCUGUCGCGAAUGCCCCCGGCUUCGGAGGGCCUUUCCCGGGAGAAGCCCCAGCCCCGGCUCCCCUCUCUGCCCCGUGCCGUCCGCACUGAGGGUCAAGGAUGCUGCAGUGCGUGUUUGUCGUUCACUUUAACUGGGCGGGCUGUGCAUCUCCUUCCGUCUGAGGGGAGCCCCCACCUCAGGGGUCUUGGGAGGCCCAGCUCUCUCCUCCCUGUAGAAGCCAAAUGGAUCCGUAGCUUCACGUGCCAGCAGCCCUUGCAGCCCAGGCCCAGGUCUAGUGGUAGCUAUUUAAACAUACAAAGGAAAGCAAAAGAAAAGACGCAGAGGAAAAGCAAAGCAGAGGGGCUGCGGAGGCCUCCCUGGUGGCUGUAGGUCGCAGGGAGGCGGGUUUCCAUGGCAGCAGUGACAGGUCUGCGUGCAGGAUGCUGGACGGCUUGGGGAGCUGCCUGGGCGCCCGUGAGCUCUUGGCUUAAUCCCGUGUUAACGCUCUCGAUGAGACCCGGGACAUUUCGCUAAGCCCUCCAGCCCCUUCUCGGACUAGCGCGAGAACCUAACCGUUGCCAGCCCUGCUCCGAGCGAUCCGCUGUGUUUCUCUUCUUGCCGAUCUUAUUGCUCCCAGCCUUCUGUAGGCCCCAUCCUCUCUGCGCCCCGUUCCUCAGGGGCCACAGCACCUGCUAGAGCAGGCCCCUCCCCCGAGCAAGCCCCGCCCUGGCAGUGGGUCCGCGCAGACCGCCCCUCCCUGCGGGCGGCCGGUGGCCGUUUCAUUCACUAGGCGGUGCGGGCGGAGGAUCCGUGGUCUGAGGGCUCGUCGGGGGCCUGUGGAAAUACAAGUCCUGAAGAAGAAUCAGAAUUAAAAGGGGAAAACCUAAAUUAGAUACCAUAAACCGUACCAUCCUGUUAAACUCAUUGUUAGUUUCAUAGCUAUUUCAUAACACGUCAGAAUUCUUCUACACUUGAAAAUAACGCGUAGGUUAGAAUCUUCACCUCACAAGAAAUUCUGCACACGCAAGAGGAUUGGCUAAGAUUGAGCCAAGUGUAAAUUAAGUGACUUACCCUCACCAAAUAAUUCCAAAAGCAAAACUGUACAGUUUCCAGAUCUCACUUUAGAGACCGCCUGCCCCGCUGGCGGCGUGUGCACUUCGGCACCUGAUGCGCGGGGCGGAGCCUCUCUGAGGCGGGGCGCCUGGACCCUGGGCAGAGCGCGCGCCGUGGGCCCCGGCUUUGGGGCGGGGACCUUGUCCUACAGACCCCAGCCCAGGGAGGCCUUGCGCGCGACACGGUUUGAGGUCUGCGAGGCUGUCCCCAGUCGCCAGUCGCCACUUUCACCCGGCGGCAGGGCCUGCCAGUCGUUGCCAGGAUCCGUUCUCGGGAAUUGUGCCGCCGUCCCUCCCCGCCUCCCGCCUCCUGUGCACAGACGCCUCUCGGGCCCAGGUUCCAGCCAGGUGACCGCGAGGAGCAGCGGCUGUCCCAGCUCCAAGGCGCGGGUUUUACGGGACUUUGGCUGUCUCGCACUUCCUCUCUCUCCCCUUCCUUGUGACAGGAACCCGGACAAGCCUCGGGUCCUGCAGGUGGACGUGGCGUCCCAGAGGGUGGUGACGUAGGAGCCUCGGUUCUUUGACAAGCUCAGGGAGCAGGACCGUCCACCCGCCUCCAACUGCCUGCUUCCCCCUCCGCCGGUUACUGAGGGAGCACUGCGGGCCUCUCUCUAAGCCGUUUGGGCAUCUGUGAUGCAUCGUGGCGUUACAGCGCCUGAGCCUGAGCUCUGGCAGAAACAGAGCUGCCUUGCCUUUGUGCCGCGAGGAUUCGCCUGGGCUUCCUGGGAGCUGCGGCACUGCUGGCCUCCAGCGGACCAAGACGUGCCGAGGCCAAGCCCAGCAGGCGGGGAGGGACCCGGGCUCUCUCCGUGCCUGGUCCAGGCCACCACAGCCUCAGCAGCCCCCAGCCUGAGGACGAGGCCUGGUGCUGGGGCUCGGCUCCCCAUUUCUUCCAGCGAGUCGCAGGCACGGUCUGGCCCACUGAUAAUGUCACUUGAUGGCAGAGCCUGGGCCAGGCGGUGCCUCUGUGGCUUUUUUGGUUUAUUAAUGGGCCUAGUGAAGCAUUCCUCUCUCCUGUGUGAGGUGUCUCUCUGCGUAACCAAGCAGUUGAUGAGACGGUUAACUUAACAACGCACAGCAUAAGAGUUGUGAGUUUAGGUUGCAGCUCAGGAGGCAGCCUCGGCUCCAGAGAGGAGGGAUAAACAGCCUUACAUCUCGCCUGUAAGCCUGACACGCAUCUUGGUAAGAGGUUACGCUGGUCGCAAAGAACCAGUAUUCCAAGCCAGUGGCUUCAGUGGCUUUCUCUGUGUGGACAGAUGCAAGAAUGUGGGUUCGUGCAGUUCUCCCUGAGGCACACGCUUAACUGUGUAGGUUUUUCCGAAGCACAGAGGGCCCCGUCCUGACGCUCAUCCUGCCUCCUCCCAGGGGCGAGCUCCCGGCGCGGCGGAGGGCCUCACCGGCGAACCGGGCGGUGAGCGAGGCUCUUGGUGCUUCUUUGUUUGCAAAGAAGGGUCUCUUUCAGACGUACUGCAGCUAAUAGCAGAAGGGUUGCUAGACUGGGGCACCGCCAGGGAGUGAAUGAAUCCCGGCAGUGACCACCCAAGGCCGCCCAUAGCGCAAGGAGAAAGUCGUCCAGACGCCGCGAGUCUGAUACGCAACAUCACCUAUGGGGCGCCGCCAAACGAGGUCUGAAUGUGAUCCAGUCUGGAGGUCUGACUGCCAAGUCAGCUCUAGCUCCCAAGUGAGGGGACCUGCCCGGAACAGAGGAGCAUUUUAAGGGACACCCCGAGGAGACAAUCGGCAAAAUCUGGUUUGUGAGCAACAGUAGGUCCGGUUUCCGCAACAAGUAUAUCGCAAGGGGGCUAAACAUGAGAUGGACGGGAAACCUACAGGCUAAGGAGACUUAAAAAACCGUAUAAGCCAAUCGUGAAGUAUGAAACUUACUUGCAUCCUGGUUUAAAGAAACUAAAAAUAUCAUGAGAGGGUUGGGAAAAGAUGAGCAGUCGGUCACAGGACACUUGAUGGUAUUAAGAACUUAUUGUCUGCAGUUCCCUGCAUGGCUCAGUGGUUUAAAGACUCCGACUAGGAACCAUGGGGUUGCGGGUUCGAUCCCUGGCCUCGGUCAGUGGGUUAAGGAUCCGACGUUGCCGUGACCUGUGGUGUAGGUCGCAGACGCAGCUUGGAUCCCGAGUUGCUGUGGCUGUGGCGUCGGCCGGUGGCUACAGCUCCGAUUCGACCCCUGUCCUGGGAACCUUCACAUGCCGUGGGUUCGGCCCUAGAAAAAGACAAAAAGACCAAAAAAAAAAAA